GUUUGAUCAUGGCUCAGGACGAACGCUGGCGGCGUGCCUAAAACAUGCAAGUCGAACGAGGGAGCAAUCCCUAGUGGCGAACGGCGGAGUAAUACAUGAACAACGUGCCCUGAAGUCCGGGACAAACGCAGAAAUGCCAUAAAUACCGGAUGUGGCCCAAACCUGGCAUCAGGAUUGGAUUAAACGGUUUUUCGCUUCAGGAGCGGUUCAUGGCCUAUCAGGUAGUUGGUGGGGUAAUGGCCUACCAAGCCGACGACAGGUAGCGGGUCUGAGAGGAUGAUCCGCUCGAGUGGGACUGAGACACGGCCCACACACCUACGGGUGGCAGCAGUUGGGAAUCUUGCACAAUGGGGGAAACCCUGAUGCAGCGACGCCGCGUGGAGGAUGACGGAUCUAGGUCUGUAAACUCCUUUUUCAUGGAAAGACUUAGGACGGUACCAUGAGAAUAAGGACCGGCUAACUACGUGCCAGCAGCCGCGGUAAGACGUAGGGUCCAAGCGUUGUCCGGAUUUACUGGGCGUAAAGAGCGCGUAGGCGGCUUGUUAAGUGUGAAGUGAAAUCUCCAGGGCUCAACCCGGAAACUGCUUCGCAUACUGGCAAGCUUGAGGAAUGCAGAGGUUUGUGGAAUUCCUGGUGUAACGGUGAAAUGUGUUGAUAUCAGGAGGAACACCCAUGGCGAAGGCAGCAAACUGGGCAUUAUCUGACGCUGAGGCGCGAAAGCGUGGGUAGCAAACAGGAUUAGAUACCCUGGUAGUCCACGCCCUAAACGAUGGAUACUAGGCGUAAGGGGUAUCGACCCCCCUUGUGCCGCAGCUAACGCAUUAAGUAUCCCGCCUGGGGAGUACGGCCGCAAGGU
rnacentral:rRNA from 1 species